CGGUUCGAGUCCGCUUACCUCCACUGAUCAGUAUCCUGAUAGCUAAAUUUUGGGAGAAUGUGGUUAAUGUGAUUUAAAAGUUGUUCAUCUGAAAGAACCCAACCUCCUUGUCAUUCCAUUCGUAUAAAUUCUUAUUGAGCUCACGCGGGGUUCAAUUUUGUUAUUUAAUGAAAACAUUUUCAGCA
rnacentral:misc_RNA from 1 species